CAAACGGCCCUUUUUAGGGCCACCCAAACCUUCUAAGAGCAUGGAU
rfam:Oryzias latipes DNA, chromosome1, strain: Hd-rR.